rnacentral:rRNA from 1 species
AGAGUUUGAUCCUGGCUCAGGACGAACGCUGGCGGCGCGCUUAACACAUGCAAGUCGAGCGAGAACCGGCCCUUCGGGGCCGGGGACAGCGGCGAACGGGUGAGUAACACGUGGGUAAUCUGCCCUCGGCACCGGGAUAGCCCGGGGAAACCCGGAUUAAUACCGGAUGGCCUCUAGAGCUCUCGAGCUCGCGAGAAAAGGUAGCUUCGGCCUCCGGCCGAGGAUGAGCCCGCGGCGGAUUAGCUUGUUGGUGGGGUAACGGCUCACCAAGGCGACGAUCCGUAGCUGGUCUGAGAGGACGAUCAGCCACACUGGGACUGAGACACGGCCCAGACUCCUACGGGAGGCAGCAGUGGGGAAUCUUGCGCAAUGGGCGAAAGCCUGACGCAGCGACGCCGCGUGCGGGAAGAAGGCCUUCGGGUUGUAAACCGCUUUCAGGAGGGACGAAGCCACUCGGGUUAAUAGCCCAGAGGGUGACGGUACCUCCAGAAGAAGCCCCGGCUAACUACGUGCCAGCAGCCGCGGUAAUACGUAGGGGGCAAGCGUUGUCCGGAUUUAUUGGGCGUAAAGAGGCGUGUAGGCGGCCAAGCAGGUCCGCUGUGAAAACUCGAGGCUUAACCUCGAGACGUCGGUGGAAACCGUUUGGCUAGAGUCCGGAAGAGGAGAGUGGAAUUCCCGGUGUAGCGGUGAAAUGCGCAGAUAUCGGGAAGAACACCCGUGGCGAAGGCGGCUCUCUGGGACGGUACUGACGCUGAGACGCGAAAGCGUGGGGAGCGAACAGGAUUAGAUACCCUGGUAGU